rnacentral:rRNA from 1 species
CCAGACUCCUACGGGAGGCAGCAGUGGGGAAUAUUGCACAAUGGGGGGAACCCUGAUGCAGCGACGCCGCGUGGGUGAGGAAGUACUUCGGUAUGUAAAGCCCUAUCAGCAGGGAAGAAAAUGACGGUACCUGACUAAGAAGCCCCGGCUAACUCCGUGCCAGCAGCCGCGGUAAUACGGAGGAUGCGAGCGUUAUCCGGAUUUAUUGGGUUUAAAGGGUGCGCAGGCGGUCUGUUAAGUCAGCGGUCAAAGCCCGGGGCUCAACCCCGCCCAGCCGUCGGAACUGCCGGGCUAGAGUGGGCGAGAAGUGCGCGGAAUGCGUGGUGUAGCGGUGAAAUGCAUAGAUAUCACGCAGAACUCCGAUUGCGAAGGCAGCGCACCGGCGCCCUACUGACGCUCAGGCACGAAAGCGUGGGUAUCGAACAGGAUUAGAUACCCGCGUAA